UACAGAGGGUGCGAGCGUUAAUCGGAAUUACUGGGAGUAAAGCGUGCGUAGACGGUUAUUUAAGUCGGAUGUGAAAGCCCCGGGCUCAACCUGGGAAUUGCAUUCGAGACUGAAUAGCUAGGGUGCGGUAGAGGGAAGCGGAAUUUCCGGUGUAGCGGUGAAAUGCGUAGAUAUCGGAAGGAACACCAAUUGCGAAGGCAGCUCGCUGGGACGUUACUGACGCUGAGACGCGAAAGCGUGGGGAGCAAACAGG
rnacentral:rRNA from 1 species